ACCACCCGAUCCCAUCUCGAACUCGGAAGUGAAACCGCUUAGCGCCGAUGAUAGUGUGGCAGUUUGCCAUGCGAAAGUAGGGAAUUGCCAAGC
rnacentral:rRNA from 1 species